GGCUGGCCUUCAGGGGCAUGUGCACACCCUGAUCGCAUCCACCUCCCACACCUGUGCACCGCCUGUAGCUUGGGAUGAUCACGGAGCCCUGAUGGGCGACGAAUGCCCUCGUCUAUGAAUAUUCUCACACACGCUCAAAGUAUGACAGAAUGUACAUCAUAUUGCGUCUGAUAAACGUGACAAAUACAACUUUCAACAACGGAUCUCUUGGCUCUCGCAUCGAUGAAGAACGCAGCGAAAUGCGAUAAGUAAUGUGAAUUGCAGAAUUCAGUGAAUCAUCGAAUCUUUGAACGCACCUUGCGCUCCUUGGUAUUCCGAGGAGCAUGCCUGUUUGAGUGUUAUGAAAUUCUCAACUGCCCCAGGCUUUGUGGCCUGCAGGUGAAGUUGGACUUGGAGGUAUUAUGCUGGCGCAUGAAUGGGCUUUUGCGGCCCUGCCUUGCUUGUUGGCUCCUCUUGAAUGCAUGAGCUUUCCAAUCCUUGGCAAAGUAUCGUCGAUGUGAUAAUUGUCUACGUCGCCCGAGAAAGCCGAAAGGGGAAAUCUUUGAUCACGCCAGGGUGACCUGCGUCUGACAAAUUCGACCUCAAAUCAGGUAGGACUACCCGCUGAACUUAAGCAUAUCAAUAAGCGGAGGAAAAGAAACUAACAAGGAUUCCCCUAGUAACUGCGAGUGAAGCGGGAAAAGCUCAAAUUUAAAAUCUGGCCGGCCUUCCGGUCGUCCGAGUUGUAGUCUGGAGAAGUGUUUUCCGUGCUGGACCGUGUACAAGUCCCUUGGAACAGGGCGUCAUAGAGGGUGAGAAUCCCGUCUUUGACACGGACUGCCAGUGCUCUGUGAUGCGCUCUCAAAGAGUCGAGUUGUUUGGGAAUGCAGCUCAAAAUGGGUGGUAAAUUCCAUCUAAAGCUAAAUACAGGCGAGAGACCGAUAGCGAACAAGUACCGUGAGGGAAAGAUGAAAAGCACUUUCGA
rnacentral:rRNA from 1 species